CGUUUUUUUUUCGAUCAUACGGUAGUAGUAGCUGAUGCCAAGUUAUUUUGAAGAACAGCUAUGAUUAAACUAUAACUGUAGACGUUCCUUCUUGUAAGAAUUUGAAGAUAGGGGGCAGCAGUGAAGCGUUAGAUUUACAAAAAAUAAAUAAUAUUUCUGAAAAGGUUAAACCUUAAAACAGACAAAAAUCAAUUAAAAAUGGUUGCCGUUGAAGGUUUAAGCACCGAACUUGUGAUAGUGGAUGGGCACAAAAGUUACAGACUAUUACAGAGUCUGUCAUCACAGAAAAUAUACAGUAAGUUGAGAAAAUAAUUGCUCAUUUUUAAUCACAUCCUUUAUUAAGAACUAUAAUUAUUUUUAUAGAUUAUGUAUACCAAUAAAGCAAGAGUAUAUUUUA